rnacentral:rRNA from 1 species
GACGUAGGGCGCGAGCGUGUCCGGAUUUAUUGGGCGUAAAGAGCUCGUAGGCGGCUUGUCGCGUCGUCCGUGAAAACCUGCAGCUCAACUGCAGGCUUGCGGUCGAUACGGGCAGGCUAGAGUACUGCAGGGGGAGACUGGAAUUCCUGGUGUAGCGGUGGAAUGCGCAGAUAUCAAGAGGAACACCGACGGCGUAGGCAGCGCCCUAGACGAGACCUGACGCUCAGGCACGAAAGCGCGGGGGAGCGAACAGG